rnacentral:lncRNA from 10 species
GGACAAUCAGGAUGUUUUUCAGAGAGAAGUGUGGAUGCUGGACAGGAAGAACCACAGAUACCAGAUACGGAAUCAACACUUUCAGAGAUGGAGCCUGUUGAGCCACAGUACCAACUAGUCAAUGCUGAAUCGACUUCUCCCUUUCUACAUUGCCUGAGAGAAGUCAUUGGGGAAUACUCUGUACACGAAUUUUCACUGUUGGGGAAAACAGGUAUUGGAAGUGAUGGGUAGACCUCAGUUUGUAUGCAUUGUGUUAAUUACUAUUUCUUUGCUUUUCCUUUUUUUGUGCGGUUGCAGAGAGUCAAGGGAUUGGAUUGUGGAUUGCAUUGGUGGUUUUCCUCAGUUUCCUCAUCUUCUCCACAAGUUUCUACAUAUCGAAUGCAGAGCAGCCCUUCUUCAAAGGACCUCCUACGGAAGCUGCUAAGGAACUCAGUCUGUAGCUCUGCGUGGAGCCAUGUGUAAACACUGAACUGAGACCUGCCACCUCCUACUACCUAAGGGCCCAUUUUCAUCUGAUAUCAUCCCCCAGAAACAAACUCAUGAUGACUUCCAUGUUUUUUUUAGAUUAGAUACAUGGAGAAUUUUCCUUUCCCUUAGAAUUAAAAUCCUGCAUUC